CAGUAGCCGCGGUAAUACGAAGGGGGCUAGCGUUGCUCGGAAUGACUGGGCGUAAAGGGCGCGUAGGCGGUUUUGACAGUCAGAUGUGAAAUUCCUGGGCUUAACCUGGGGGCUGCAUUUGAGACGUCAAGACUAGAGUGUGAGAGAGGGUUGUGGAAUUCCCAGUGUAGAGGUGAAAUUCGUAGAUAUUGGGAAGAACACCGGUGGCGAAGGCGGCAAUCAGGCUCAUUACUGACGCUGAGGCACGAAAGCGUGGGGAGCAAACAGGAUUAGAUACCCGGGUAGUCCCUGUCUCUUAUAC
rnacentral:rRNA from 1 species